CCUACGGGUGACAGCAGUGAGGAAUAUUGGUCAAUGGGCGGAAGCCUGAACCAGCCAAGUCGCGUGAGGGAAUAAGGCCCUACGGGUCGUAAACCUCUUUUGCCGGGGAGCAAGGGCGGGGACGUGUCCCGGCCCGUAUAGUACCCGGAGAAAAAGCAUCGGCAAACUCCGUGCCAGCAGCCGCGGUAAUACGGAGGAUUCGGGCGUUAUCCGGAUUUAUGGGGUUUAAAGGGUGCCUAGGCGGGCUUUUAAGUCAGCGGUAAAAAUUCGGGGCUCAACCCCGUCCGGCCGUUGAAACUGGGGGCCUUGAGUGGGCGAGAAGAAGGCGGAAUGCGUGGUGUAGCGGUGAAAUGCAUAGAUAUCACGCAGAACCCCGAUUGCGAAGGCAACCGUCCGGCGCGCUACUGACGCUGAGGCACGAAAGUGCGGGGAUCGAACAGGAUUAGAUACCCUAGUAGUC
rnacentral:rRNA from 1 species